rnacentral:rRNA from 1 species
AGAGUUUGAUCCUGGCUCAGAACGAACGCUGGCGGCAUGCCUAACACAUGCAAGUCGAACGAGGGCUUCGGCCCUAGUGGCGCACGGGUGAGUAACGCGUGGGAACCUGCCCUGUGGUACGGAAUAACUCCGGGAAACUGGAGCUAAUACCGUAUGUGUCUUGAGGGACAAAGAUUUAUCGCCAUGGGAUGGGCCCGCGUAGGAUUAGCUUGUUGGUGGGGUAACGGCCUACCAAGGCAACGAUCCUUAGCUGGUCCGAGAGGAUGAUCAGCCACACUGGGACUGAGACACGGCCCAGACUCCUACGGGAGGCAGCAGUGGGGAAUAUUGGACAAUGGGCGCAAGCCUGAUCCAGCAAUGCCGCGUGAGUGAUGAAGGCCUUCGGGUUGUAAAGCUCUUUCGCACGCGACGAUGAUGACGGUAGCGUGAGAAGAAGCCCCGGCUAACUUCGUG